UUUGGCAAGCCAGCCAGGAAACUUGCUGCUCGUGGCUAGCUGGCCCCAGUGAGGGAACAUUGGAGCAAGGCCCUAGCAGCUGCCAGGACCAUUUGUCCUGAGGAUCUUCCCUUCAAAAUUCCCUGAAGCAGCACCGGCUACCCCAGCGCUUGGCAGUUGAAGCAAGGAACCGACCAACUUUUGCAAGUCCUCGGACUCGAUUUUGUAGGGCUACAGGUGUAAAAAAGAUACUUUCCAGAGAGGAACAGAAGAGACAACGUUUGGAACACUGGCACCGAUGGCGGACACUCCCAGAAAGAUCCAUCUGACGAAGCCAUUAGAAUGGUCAUCACCCCUUUUUCCACAAGAUUAUGGAACGGACACUGACAGUGGGGAAUUGUAACAGCGAAGAGCCAAAUCUGACUACACGUUGGAUCUGCUUCUUUUACUUUAACCUUUGCUUUCCCGCUGCUUUUGUUCACUAAAAGGAUACUGUCUAUACAUAAUGGCCUGCCUCGGGGAACCCUGCCCCUCUGCCCCUGAAUGUUAACCCAAAGUGCCUUUGUUCAGAGAGGCAUCCUGACCCCGUCCACCUGUGGCUGGCUGCAAGAAAGAAGAAAUUAACACAUCCCCUCCCCGAGGGAGGCUGGCCAUUCCAGGUGAUAUUUGCAAAAUGUAUGGCCUUUUUACUUUACUUCCCCAUCUCCCCCUCUCUGUGCUAUAAACGAAAUUGGCAUCCAAACCCGGAGAAGACAAGACGGUUGUUUUGAGACUUUAGUCUGCCAUCUUCUCGGUCCGCCGGCUUUCCCAAUAAAGUCGUAUUCGUGCCUCAGCACCUCGUCUCCGAUUCAUUGGCCUGUUGUGAGGGGAAAGGUCAUGUGAGGACAGAGAGAAGGCCGCCAUCCACAAGCCAGGACUAGCUCUCAUCAGAAACCAACCUGACGGCACCUGGGUCUUGGAUCUCUAGGCUCCAGAACUGCUAGAUUUUGUUCCGGCCGCCCCCCGUAGACUAACACAAUAGGACUAUCACUUUCUUCUUUCCUACAACCGAGCCACAAAGCGACAUCUUUGCUGGAUAACACCACGCAGCCCGCUGAACACGUGAGUUGAGUUAGGAAGAGAAAUGUCACCAUGAGAUCAAAAGCAUAGAGACCAUGGACCUCAUUCUCGUCACUUGCCAUCACUCGCAGAC